UUUAAAUAGUUGAAGUUUUUCAUGACUUAUCUGAAUGCAACAUUAACUUCUGUGUAAAAGUCUUGGUCUUGAAGUGACAUCAGCAUCCUGGUGGAAUGAGCUCUCCCCUUAGACUCUCCCCUCUAAGAAACAGUGAAAAGGACAUUCACAUACCAACAGAGGACAUUCACACAAGACAAAAGACAUCUAAGAGACCCCCACAGCCAUACAUCUGAAAGUGGAGAUGCUGGACCCCACAAAGGAAGUGGAAGGAGGACCUCUCACUCUGCAGAGCCCAGAAUUGUGGAGAUGGGAAACACAAAAUCCCUUGGCAGGUCAUUAGAAGUGAUGGGCUUGCUACAAACACACUGCACCUGUUAUCACAACUGAUACAGCACCCCAGGAUCUGCUGGAUUGUAUGACUCAAGUGGUAGAGCCACUUGCACCAUAACCUGUACCUUCUACAGAGCUCUCUCCUGUUCCUGGCCCCAUUCAAAGCUGGCAGCCUUUUGUAUUACUGAUGUGUGGGCCAGAGCAGCAUCCCUAGCUGUGGAAUGUGUUGCCUUUAGAACCUGAAAAGGCAAAAUAGGCAUUAUACCUUCUAUAAAUAAUGAUAGUAUUGACUCUUCUUUUCCAGUUUAAGACCUGCUAUUUCUUUCUCUUGCUUAAUUGCAUCAGCAACUGUCUCUAUAAUACUGCUAAAUAAUAGCGGUGAAAGUGAACUGCUGAAAACUUGGCUUAGUGUAUUCUGAGGGAGAAGAGAGGCUCUUUGAUAAUUUAAAAACAUUUUUUUCCUGUGGUACUUAAUCCAUUUAGAUUUGUUCUCUCCUCUGAAGGUGCAUUUUAUUUUCCUAAAAAUCCAUCCAUUCAAUAAUAUUUUCAAAUCUAUAGAGUUAAAAAAGUAAUCUGUUAUAAUAUGUUUUAUAUUUCCUCUG